CCUCUGGGGUGCACCAUCCCCAUCGGGGGUGCACCACUGAACCGACUGAUCACACCCUGGAGCCCGUCGGAGCUAGGGAAGCAGGAAUCCACGUGUGGCCUACUGGGGUAAGAGCUCGAGAGAGGCGGCCGCUCUCCCUGAAGCCAGAGCCUUCAAGCGCCAUCAUACCAUCACCCCCCCCACUUUGGACCGGUGGGGGAUAUCCCGGUCCUCACUGGACAAAUUGAUAAGGCAGGAGGGCAGAC